rnacentral:rRNA from 1 species
AUUGAACGCUGGCGGCAGGCCUAACACAUGCAAGUCGAGCGGAACGACGGACGGGCGAGUGAUGCCUAGGAAUCUGCCUGCUAGUGAGGGAUAACGUCCGGAAACGGGCGAUAAUUCCGCAUGCUCUCUGAUGAGCCUAGCGUGGAUUAGUUAGAUGGUGAGGUAAAGGCUUACCAAGGAGACGAUCCGUCACUGGGCUGAGUGGAUGAUCAGUCACACUGUAACUGAGACACGGUCCAGACUCCGACGGGAGGCAGCAGUGGGGAAUAUUGGACAAUGGGCGAAAGCCUGAUCCAGCCAUGCCGCGUGUAUGAAGAAGGUCUUCGGGUUGUAAAGCACUUUAAGUUGGGAGGCGUUACCGACAGAAGAAGCACCGGCUAACUUCGUGCCAGCAGCCGCGGUAAUUC